GAGUGGCGAACUGGUGAGUAACACGUGGGAAACCUGCCCAGAAGCGGGGGAUAACACCUGGAAACAGAUGCUAAUACCGCAUAACAACUUGGACCGCAUGGUCCGAGUUUGAAAGAUGGCUUCGGCUAUCACUUUUGGAUGGUCCCGCGGCGUAUUAGCUAGAUGGUGGGGUAACGGCUCACCAUGGCAAUGAUACGUAGCCGACCUGAGAGGGUAAUCGGCCACAUUGGGACUGAGACACGGCCCAAACUCCUACGGGAGGCAGCAGUAGGGAAUCUUCCACAAUGGACGAAAGUCUGAUGGAGCAACGCCGCGUGAGUGAAGAAGGGUUUCGGCUCGUAAAACUCUGUUGUUAAAGAAGAACAUAUCUGAGAGUAACUGUUCAGGUAUUGACGGUAUUUAACCAGAAAGCCACGGCUAACUACGUGCCAGCAGCCGCGGUAAUACGUAGGUGGCAAGCGUUGUCCGGAUUUAUUGGGCGUAAAGCGAGCGCAGGCGGUUUUUUAAGUCUGAUGUGAAAGCCUUCGGCUCAACCGAAGAAGUGCAUCGGAAACUGGGAAACUUGAGUGCAGAAGAGGACAGUGGAACUCCAUGUGUAGCGGUGAAAUGCGUAGAUAUAUGGAAGAACACCAGUGGCGAAGGCGGCUGUCUGGUCUGUAACUGACGCUGAGGCUCGAAAGUAUGGGUAGCAAACAGGAUUAGAUACCCUGGUAGUCCAUACCGUAAACGAUGAAUGCUAAGUGUUGGAGGGUUUCCGCCCUUCAGUGCUGCAGCUAACGCAUUAAGCAUUCCGCCUGGGGAGUACGGCCGCAAGGCUGAAACUCAAAGGAAUUGACGGGGGCCCGCACAAGCGGUGGAGCAUGUGGUUUAAUUCGAAGCUACGUGAAGAACCUUACCAGGUCUUGACAUACUAUGCAAAUCUAAGAGAUUAGACGUUCCCUUCGGGGACAUGGAUACAGGUGGUGCAUGGUUGUCGUCAGCUCGUGUCGUGAGAUGUUGGGUUAAGUCCCGCAACGAGCGCAACCCUUAUUAUCAGUUGCCAGCAUUAAGUUGGGCACUCUGGUGAGACUGCCGGUGACAAACCGGAGGAAGGUGGGGAUGACGUCAAAUCAUCAUGCCCCUUAUGACCUGGGCUACACACGUGCUACAAUGGAUGGUACAACGAGUUGCGAACUCGCGAGAGUAAGCUAAUCUCUUAAAGCCAUUCUCAGUUCGGAUUGUAGGCUGCAACUCGCCUACAUGAAGUCGGAAUCGCUAGUAAUCGCGGAUCAGCAUGCCGCGGUGAAUACGUUCCCGGGCCUUGUACACACCGCCCGUCACACCAUGAGAGUUUGUAACACCCAAAGUCGGUGGGGUAACCUUUUAGGAACCAGCCGCCUAAGGUGGGACAGAUGAUUAGGGUGAAGUCGUAACAAGGUAGCCGUAGGAGAACCUGCGGCUGGAUCACCUCCUUUCU
rnacentral:rRNA from 1 species